rnacentral:lncRNA from 1 species
UUUAGAGGGCAAUUAUAUGUACCUGGUGCUAAAAAUAUCCAAGGUGACAUUCUAUCUGAAGCACUCACAACAACUUUUUCUAUUCAUCGAGGAGCUACUAAAAUGUAUAGAGAUUGGAAAUUGCAUUAUUGGUGGCCGAACAUGAAAGGUGAGGUGGCUGAAUACGUAAGGCAUUGUUUGAUGUAUCAACAGAUAAAAACAGAACAUUAGAUGCCAGUAGGAACCUUACAACUAUUACCUAUCCUAAAGUGGAAAUGGAAAAGAAUCACAAUGGAUUUUGUGGUCAAAUUACCAAAAACAACUAAAGGAUACGAUAAUACUUAAUUAUUGUGGAUAGGUUGACCAAAUCAGCUCAUUUCAUUCUAGUUUCUUCCACUUAUUUCAUGGACCGAUAUACUUAGCUUUAUGUACAAGAAAUAGUUAGAUUUCAUAAAGUACCACUAUCUAUUGUUUCAGACAGAGAUUUUAAGUUUUCAUCUCUCUUUUGGAAAAGCUUGCAUAAAGUUUUGAGAAUGCAAUUAUCUUUUAGCAUGGUUUAUUAUCCUCAGACUGAAGGACAAUCAGAAAGAACAAUACAAAUAUUGAAAGAUAUGUUAAGAGCUUGUGUAUUAGAUUUCCAAGGCCAGUGGAGUAAAUUUUUACAUUCGAUAGAAUUUAAAUACAAUAACAGUUAUCAGGCUACGAUUGGAAUGGCUCCUUAUGUAACAUUAUAUGGUUAAAAAUGUAGGUCACUGAUUUAUUGGGAUGUGGUUGAAGAUAGGAAACUAUUAGGUCCAGAUAUAGUACGUAAAAUGGUUGAAGUUGUGUCACAAAUACAUCAACGGAUGUAAACUGCUCAAAAUUGACGAAAAAGCUAUGCAAACCAAAGAAGAGUAAUGUUAUAAUUUACUAAAGGAGAUCAAGUAUUUUUGAAGAUAGUGCCCAUGAAAGGAGUUAAGAGGUUUGGGAAGAAAGGAAAGCUAAGCCCGAGAUAUAUUGGAAAUGUUGCCUACAAACUUGAUCUUCCUUCAUCAAUGUCUCAAGUGCACAACCUGUUUCAUGUAUCCAUGCUAAGAAAACACAUUGGAAAUCCUUCUCAUCUAUUGAAGCAUAGACCAAUGGAGAUAAAACCAGUUUGACUUAUGAAAAAAAUCGGUAGAGAUUCUUCGACGAGAGGUAAAGCAACUUAUAAGCAAGAAAAUACCAUUGGUUAAGGUAUUGUUGCAAAAUUGGUCAGCAGAGAUUCUUCAACGAGGGGUAAAACAAAUUAUAAGUAAGAAAAUUUCAUUGGUUAAGGUAUUGUUGCAAAAUUGGUCAGCAAAAAAGGCCACUUAGGAAUGAGAAGAUGAAAUGCGGGUUAAACAUCCUGACAUUUUGGGUAAGCAGAUUUCGAGGACGAAAUUUUUAUAAGGAUGAGAGGAUGUAAUAAUCCGAC